GAAUGAUACUAAAAUGGCCUGUAAUUUCCUGAACUUAACAUGUCUUGAGAGAACACCGUUUCAAUGGAAAGUACACAAUGAAUAUGAAUCUAUCAAAUUCAAUUCCCUCUGCAGGGACAAGACUCUAUGCUGUCCAGACUGGAGCGGACUGCGGCUUUAAGUGCCCAGUGCCAUGGCUCACUCUCAACACCCUGAAAGAGUGAGCCAGAGAGGUAAACUAUGCUCACAGGUAAUGAGACUUAAUAGGGCUUGUGUAUGUGACCCCUGCUAGCCUAAUCUUCUGAGCCACCCUGCUGCUAUGCAAUGGAGGACAUGAACAAUAAAGGUUCAAUUAAAAUUACA